GAGAGGCGCAGGAACAGGAGGACCUGCGGACUCCGCCGAGACUUUAAUGAAUGGGUUUCAGGAACGAGGCUGAAAACUCGCUGUUGGGAGCUUUUUAAAUGCAGUUACUUCUGAGAGUGAUGACCUGCAGGUCCACGAGGAGCCACAAUGAGUCCACCUGUUAUAUCUGACAGACCACUUUCUGAAAAAAUGAUGCUCUUCCAGAGGCCGGAGCCUGCUGAGACAGACUCUGGAGUGAGCUGUUUGUCCUUGAAGAGCAACGAGUCAAAGUCUGAACCUCUUCUGUUUAAAGGAGGACUCUGCUGUGCUGAACCCAGGAUCCAUCAC